rnacentral:tRNA from 1 species
GUGCUUAUAGUAUAAUAUAAUACACUUGCUUUUCACGCAAGAAACACAUAUGUAAUGUUAAACA